rfam:Glycine soja cultivar W05 scaffold1588_17, whole genome shotgun sequence.
UUCUUAUUGGAUGAUGACUAUCACAUGUCAUAUUCUGAUUGGAUGUCAAUUCCAUGAAAGAUGAAAUGCAUGUUUAUUUUCAUUAACCAAUCAAAACAUGACACGCGGUAGUCAUCAUCC